UACGAAGGGGGCAAGCGUUGUUCGGAAUUACUGGGCGUAAAGGGCGCGUAGGCGGCUUAUCAAGUCAGGCGUGAAAUUCCCGGGCUCAACCUGGGGGCUGCGCUUGAUACUGAUUGGCUUGAAUGCGGGAGAGGAUAGUGGAAUUCCCAGUGUAGAGGUGAAAUUCGUAGAUAUUGGGAAGAACACCGGUGGCGAAGGCGGCUAUCUGGCCCGUAAUUGACGCUGAGGCGCGGAAAGCGUGG
rnacentral:rRNA from 1 species